UCCUUUUUUGGCUAAUACUAAUUUACUCAAAGUCCUACAAACUUUCUCGAUACAGGUAAAAUGGUGGUGUGGUGAUCGCUGGGUUGGAGUUCACUCGUGGCAUGAACGUAGCUUCUAUUAACACUAUGUUUUUCUGUUUGUGCGAAUUUUUCAGUUCUUUAGCUCGUGAAAUGAAAAAGCUUUUGAUCUUUAAAUUGAAUAUUGUGGCUUGUGUUAGUAUUUCAAGAUUGCAAGGAACCUCUUCGUUAGCUUUUGAUGAUCUUCGUAAUCCCUCACCGACGCCUUACGACUUAUCCAACAUGUUUUGUAUGCGGCGUCUCAAACGAGUUUUCCCGGAAUAAAUAUCAAUUUCAACUACCUUUGGAUGAAGCUUGACAUGCUUUUGUUGGUAAGUGCAUUAUAAUUUAUAAACCAAUUUGAUUUAAAGGAAUAAUUUAAUUUUAUAUGUUAACUCUUUUUUGUGUUAAUCAUGGUGUUUGCUUCUA